AAACUUUAAUACCAUCUUAUUGACACUUCAUAAAUAUUUAUAAAAAUAUUUACAACUCGGUUUAUAGAAACGAGGUCUCGAUACCUAAUUUUCUAAACCCACUUGACCUUAGGGUCAUACAACUUGAACUUAAUAAAUCGCUUAUAAAACAAAAAUCACAAUAUCAAAAACCUUUUUUAAACUCACAAUUAACUGGUAAAUAUUAAAUAUAAUAUUUAAAAACCUACUCGUCG
rnacentral:lncRNA from 1 species